AGUGAGACUCUAUCUCUAAAAAAAAUUUUUUUAAUUAAAAUUCAAAUUAAAAAAAGAAAUAUGUAUGAUAACUGGGCUAUCAUUCAGUUCACAUUUUUCUAUCUGAACACAAGGACCUUAUAAGAGGCUUUAGCAACCAGAUGCUUUGAAGUCUGUCAUGGUUCAGCUGGGUCAGCUUCUGGGGCUCAGCUCACAUCUGGGACUCUCCCUGAUUCACGCUCUCUUACCCUGAUGUCUGUUGUGGAAUAAAAUCCUUCCCGUGGCCUACAAGGUCCUACCCAAUUUGGCCCCUGCCUGCUUCUCUAGCUUCCCCUUCCCCUUGCUCAUUAGACUGCUGUUCCUGUUCUGCAGCUCAUAGUUAGCUCCCUGUGACCAUUCAGGUCUCAGCUUAGAUAUCACCUCUUUAACCAGCCUUCCUAAUGUGGGUGCACCCACCUCCCUGCCCCAGCCCAUCACUCCCAAACCUAACCACUCUUCUACAUCUCUCUGUUUUGUCUUCAUAACACUUUUUCACUUUUCAAUAUGCAUGUAUUUUGUUAAGUGGUUUAUUCUGUUUUCUUCAGUAGUACAUGUAUUCCACAAAAGCAGGAACCUUGUCUGUCUUAUCUGUGUUGUUUCCCCAAAGCCUGCAAUACUACCUGAUACAUGGCAAGUGUUCUGUAAAUACUUUUUGUGUGAGUGAAUGAAUCAAGAGGCUUUGCUCUCCCUGAACUGGUUCUUCCCUGCCAUUAAGCCUCAUGUGAUCCCCUUGGUUCCUUUCCUCUAGCACUCACUUGAUAUCCAAUAGUGGCAGAUCUUGA
rnacentral:lncRNA from 10 species